UCCCGGAGCAGGGCAAUGGGAUGCCCGGCCACCGGGUCAGGCCUUAACGGGAGCAGCCCCGCCGGAUCCGUCUCAUGUGCGCUGCUCCGUUUUUC
rnacentral:SRP_RNA from 1 species